rnacentral:rRNA from 1 species
UACGAAGGGUGCAAGCGUUAAUCGGAAUUACUGGGCGUAAAGGGUGCGUAGGCGGUUGUUUAAGUCUGGCGUGAAAUCCCCGGGCUCAACCUGGGAAUGGCGAUGGAUACUGGGCAGCUAGAGUGUGUCAGAGGAUGGUGGAAUUCCCGGUGUAGCGGUGAAAUGCGUAGAGAUCGGGAGGAACAUCAGUGGCGAAGGCGGCCAUCUGGGACAACACUGACGCUGAGGCACGAAAGCGUGGGGAGCAAACAGG